rnacentral:rRNA from 1 species
CAAUAGCGUAUAUUAAAGCUGUUGCGGUUAAAAAGCUCGUAGUUGGAUUUCUGUCAAGGUGCGUCGGUCCUUGCUUUGCAAGCGUAUCUGAUUUGCACUUUGGCAUCCUCGUGGGGAGCCUCGGGGCGAUUGAGUUCGUUCCUUGGUUUAUUCGCGACUUUUACUUUGAGGAAAUUAGAGUGUUCACGGCAGGCUAUAUUGCCUAUUGAAUACAUUAGCAUGGAAUAAUAACAUAGGACCUUGGUGCUAUUUUGUUGGUUUCUAGAGCUAAGGUAAUGAUUAAUAGGGAUAAUUGGGGGCGAUUCGUAUUAACGCGUCAGAGGUGGAAUUCUUGGAUUGCGUUACGACGAACUACUGCGAAAGCAUUUGCCAAGGAUGUUUUCAUUGAUCAAGAACGAAAGUUAGGGGAUCGAAGAUGAUCAGAU